rnacentral:misc_RNA from 1 species
UUUCCGUAGGUGAACCUGCGGAAGGAUCAUUAUUGUAUAACCGAGGUGCGAGGGCUGUCGCUGACCCGAAAGGUCGUGCACGCCCGAGUGCCCUCACACACAUCCAUCUCACCCCUAUGUGCACCACCGCGUGGGUCCCCCUUUGGCUUGUUCGGAGGGGGGCUUACGUUUUCACACAAACUUUGUAUGCAGUGUAGAAUGUAUUUUUUGUUUUUGCGAUCACGCAAUCAAUACAACUUUCAACAACGGAUCUCUUGGCUCUCGCAUCGAUGAAGAACGCAGC